AUUGAACGCUGGCGGCAGGCCUAACACAUGCAAGUCGAACGAGUGGCGGACGGGUGAGUAAUGUCUGGGAAACUGCCUGAUGGAGGGGGAUAACUACUGGACACGGUAGCUAAUACCGCAUACCAUCAGAUGUGCCCAGAUGGGAUUAGCUAGUGGGUGGGGUCACGGCUCACCAAGGCGACAAUCACUAGCUGGUCUGAGAGGAUGACCAGCCAAACUGUAACUGAGACACGGUCCAGACGCCUAAGGGAGGGAGGAGUGGGGAAUAUUGAACAAUGGGCGCAAGCCGGAUGCCGCCAUGCCGCGUGGAGGAAGAAGGCCUUCGGGUUGUAAAGUACUUUCAGCGGGGAGGCGUUACCCGCAGAAGAAGCACCGGCUAACUCCGUGCCAGCAGCCGCGGUAAUAC
rnacentral:rRNA from 1 species